rnacentral:rRNA from 1 species
UACAGAGGUCUCAAGCGUUGUUCGGAUUCAUUGGGCGUAAAGGGUGCGUAGGCGGCGCGGUAAGUCGGGUGUGAAAUCUCGGAGCUUAACUCCGAAACUGCAUUCGAUACUGCCGUGCUUGAGGACUGGAGAGGAGACUGGAAUUUACGGUGUAGCGGUGAAAUGCGCAGAUAUCAGGAGGAACACCGGUGGCGAAGGCGGGUCUCUGGGCCGAAAUUGACGCUGGAGGAGCGAAAGCGUGGGGAGCAAACAGG